CGACUCUGGUUUCUCUUCAUUACGCACAAGCCUUUCGCCUUUUACUAAAGACUUCCGUGGAGAGGAACACUUACGAGUUCAACGUAUUUUUGGAAGGCAUUUGCUU
rnacentral:snRNA from 1 species